GCCUGGCUGGCUCAGUCGGUGGAGCAUGUGACUCUUGAUCUCAGGGUGAUGAGUUCGAGCCCCUUGCUGGGUG
rnacentral:tRNA from 1 species